ACCCCUAGCCUGGGAACCUCCAUAUGCCACGGGAGCGGCCCAAGAAAUAGCAACAAUAAUAACAACAACAAAAAAGACAAAAGACAAAAAAAAACCAAAAAAACAAAAAAAAAAACCAAAAAAAAAAACAAAACAAAAUUUGCAUAUAAUUUCAAGAGGUUCAUGGAUUCUGAAAUACAGUAGUGGACCUGCUAAGAGCAUAUAAAUAGCAUGUGUUAAUUUAUUUUAUGAUAUAUAAUUUAAAUUUUGUCUGUAAUAUUUAUAAAUUAGGUUAUUUAUAACAAAUAUAAACUAGCUGUGUUGAAUAUAUAUAUGUAUAUAUAUAUAAUACAUACACAUAUAUAUGUUAGUAAGUGCUUUAUAUGAAAAACCCCAAUUUAAAUCAUGUCUUAAUGGAGUUUAGGUUAGAAUAUACUUUUAGAGUACAUUUCUAAAAGAAAGUAUUUUCAGGAAAAGGCUAUAUUCCUCUUUAAAUGUCAGUCAUAUGCCACUUCUCGAAGGAAAGGUGAGAAAAUAAAAAUAUUUUUCUUAAUGUAGUACAGCAAGUGACAAAGUGAGCUGACAUGCUUAGGAAGCUAGGUGGAGAUGUAGUUUGUAAAGAAAGAUUAAAAUGUCAUUUUAUCUGAAGAUUCACUAGUCAUUUCCCCAGGGCUAUCUUUGCCUGUGUAUGAAAAUGGGUUCUUUUGGUGCAAAAAAUCAUGCAUUUUUAAAUAGUUGAUCAGAACAAUAAGACGUUCCUUUUGAAGUUCUUUUAGCCUAUAGAUGGCAGUGGUUUAAUUAUGGAGUUUAAAAGGAAAACUUAAGGGUAUAAUUUUAAUUAUAAUAAUAAUAGCCGUACAGUAUCAAUUGCCUAACUUAGCUUUGGCUAUUAGUAAAAUAAUGAAAUGUUUUGAAGCAUUAUUUUGAUAGCAGUUGAAUGUAUUGUGCUCUUUUGCUGCUUUUUUUUUUUUGUAAUAUGUUCAUGAAAGAGAGUUAAGUUUUCAUUUCUUUAAGAGGAUGUUUUCUUCUGCUGUUCCCAAGAUAGCAUGUUCCUCCCUCCAAUUAGCGACUUGAAUCAAGAUCAGGUUUUAGACCAAGUAAGCCUUUGUAACAGAUUGGCGCCUCAGGCCCUUCAUUUUGUAGAAAUUCUCAACCAAGGAAAACAAAAUUGAAAACUCCUAAGAGGCAAUGAGUUACUAUCGUUAGAUAGCAAGUCUGAUAACUUUCAGGCCUUUUGAAGGAAUUUCUUUUCUUUUUUUAAGCUUUCUAGCUUCUCCAUUUAGUGCAGCACGAAGCACCGUGGAAAACAUUCUCCUCCUCCUCUGACUUUGUGGGAAUUGGACCAACUGACAUUUUCUUUUUCUUUUUUUCUUUUUUUUUCUUUUUUUUGGUCUUUUUGUCUUUUUAUGGCUGUACCCACAGCUUAUGGAGGUUCCUAGGCUAAGGGUCGAAUUGGAGGUAUAGGUGCCAGCCUACACCCCAGCCACAGCCACAGCCAGAUCCGAGCCGUGUCUGCCACCUACACCACAGCUCACGGCAACGCCAGAUCCUUAACCCACUGAUUGAGGCCAGGGAUAGAACCCGCAACCUCAUGGUUCCUAGUUGGAUUCGUUUCUGCUGCGCCAUGACGGGAACUCCCUAACUGACAUUUUCAAUAAAUCCAAGAGCCUGGGAACAGAAUGCUCAGGAUACUCUUCCCUCAGUCAGGCUCUACAAAUUAACUUAAAGGACACAUUUCGAGAAAGUUAUCUUUCCUGCAUUAAAUAAAAAAAUACUCAGUUUUUCAAACUGUUGAGUUUUUUGUGUUCUUUCUUUAUUCUAGAUUCUAGUCCUUUAUCAGAUAUAGGGUUUGCAAAUAAGUUUCUCCUAGUAUGUAAUUCAGCUUUUCAUUCUCUAAAGUCUUUUGCAGGACAAAAGUUUCAAAUUUUGUUGAGGCCCAUUUUAUCAAUAGUUUUUUUUGUGUGUGUGUGUGUGUGUGUGUGGUGGGGAGGAUAGUGCUUUUUGGUGUUGAGUCUAAGAGCUCUUUGCCCUAGCCCUGGAUCAAAAAUACUUUAUCACUAUUUGUAGACUCUUUUCUGUUUCACUAAUCUGUGUCUCUCCCUUUACCAAUAUUACACAGUCUUAGUCCCUGGAAGCUGUAUAGUGUCUUGAAAUCAGGUAGACUGAUUUUUCUCCUUAUAUUCUUGUUCAUUAUUUCGGCUAUCCUGGUUCCUUUGUCUUUCCAACUAGAUUUUAGAAUAACCUUCUGUGUAGCUGUAAAAUUUCUUGCUAGGAUUUCGAUGGUAAUUACAUUAAACCUGUGUAUCAGUUUGGGAAAGAAUUUAUACUUUUACUACGUUGAGUCUUCUAAUCCUGGCACGUGAUAUGUCUCUCCAUUUUUUUAGAUUUUCUAUAAUUUCUUUUAUCAACAAUUGGUAGUUUCAUCGUACAAGUCCUGUGCAUGUUUUGGUAGGUUUCCAACUAAGUAUUUCACUUUUUGAGCAAGUAUCGAUAACAUUGAAUCUCAAAUUUGUAUGUUUAUGUGUUCUUGCAUGCAUGUGUACAUGCAUGCACACGCAUGCGUACAUGCAUGCACACGCAUGCAUGCUCACACACACACAAACACACACACUUACUUUAUUUUGGUAUGUUUACCUUGUGUCCUAAAAAAUCUAUGGCAAUGAUAUGUGUAAGUGCAGAAGUCCUGUCUUUGACUCUAAGCUUCAUCUUUCCCUUUUCUUACUGAUUGGUUGGGCGACUACUUGAUCCGUUCAUUCUUUCAUUUAGCAAACAGUCACUGGAUGGCCACCCUGUCCAUAGUUCUUUGUUAGGUACCUCUGUUAAUUUGGAGUUAAAAAAGAUAGGACCUUUGAUCUCAUACAGUAGCAAAAAAAAAAAAAAAAAAAGCAAUGCAGACAACCACCUGUAAUACUAAUCAUGGCAAAAUAAGCGUUGUUCUAGAGAGAAAACCUGUGUGUGGUGAGAAUGCAAAGGAAGAAACAGGUAAUUCUGACAGAGAGGACCCAGGAACACCUUCAUGAAAAAGAUAGACUUUGUGUGGAGUCGGGUUGUUACAUUUCAGAGGCAGACCAGUAAAGGACUCAGCGUGCACCCAGUCCUUGGAGCCCCGGGGCUGUUGGGCUUUGUGUGUGACAUAGGGGCCUGGGAACGUGAAACCAGCUUUGAUUGUGGGGUUCUUCAAUGCUCUGGUAUAAAGUUUGGACCUUGUUCUGCAGUAAAUAGGGAGCGACUUCAGGUUUCUAAACAGGAGGAGAACGCUGUUAUGCUGAUUUAGUCAAAGGAUUCUGGCGAUGAUGUCACAGAUAGAUUCAAAAGUGAGAAGGAGCCCAGUCCUUACGGAGGUUUAGGCCGAAGUGGAGAUGCAGCAUUGGGCUCUUUCAGAAGGGUCCAAACCAUCUGAAGGGCAGUGAGUGGCACAUAGCUGCUGCCUUUCAUCCAGACAGCAUUUCCUCCUUGUGAUUAGGAGGAGAUUAAAAUUCUCUGUUAUAGGAGAAUAAAACCUGGGCUUUUGAAAACAAAAAUGCAUUGUUUUCACUUACGAUUUCUAGCUUCUUUAAAAAUAAUAAAUGUAGAUUGUAAUUUUCUCUGAGUGAUGCGGUUUUGAAUUUUAAAAGGGCAGUCACUAUAAGAAUAAGCACCUUCUAGCAUGAAUUGGUGUUCUUAUGGGAGGCAGUCACUCUGGAUUAUCUUAUGCACUUGAAAACUUUUGGUUUUGGGGGGAUAUUGAAUGGGUAUAGGAGCUCAAUUUGAGCAAAUUCUAUCUCUGUGUAUAACACCACAGAUUGGAGUUCUGGGAACUAAGGUGUAAAAGAGUGGACAAGCCUAAGUCUUUUUUGGAGAUAGUUUUGUCUAUCUACUGAGCCGUAAGUCCUUCAUCCUAAACUAUAACCUCCUAAAGUGAUGUGAGGAAUUCUCUGAUGCUUAAGAAAACCAAAUAACUAGGAGUCAGUCUGCAGAUAGCUUUCUGUGGUCACCUGCUUCUGAAGACCCGAUCUUCUUGGGGAUACUCUUUCUUCUUCUGCAUUUUUAACUCCUCUUGAGAUUGCGGCCUCACUUGAUGUUCUUCGUUUUCUAGCCUCUGUGCCUUCAAGUAGGAGUAGACAUAGCUACAGUUGCAUACUUGAUUCAUUAGAAAUACUUGAGAUAAUUCAGUAAACGGUGUCCAAAGAUGUAUUGUCUGCUGUGGGGUCAUGGUUAUUUAUUUAUCUGUCAAGAGUCUUUGCCUUUCCAGUGAACAGGUGCUGUGGAAUCAUCUCUAUUCUCCAUCUUAAAAAAAGAGAGAGAAAGACAUGUAUUCAGGAGUUCCAAUUGUGGCUCAGUGCUUAACGAAUCCGACUAGGAAACAUGAGAUUGUGGGUUCGAUCCCUGGCCUUGCUCAGUGGGUUAAGGAUCCGGUGAUGCCGUGAGCUGUGCUGUAGGUUGCAGACAUGGCUGGGGAUCAUGCGUUGCUGUGGCUCUGACGUAGGCUGGCAGCUACAGCUCCGAUGAGACCCCUAGCCUGGGAACCUCCAUAUGCCAUGGGUGCAGCCCUAGAAAAGGCAAAAAUAAAUAAAUAAAUAAGUUCAGCACUCCCUCAACCCCAAUGGACAAGGUAUUCCUCUGGUGUGAACAGCUAAGUCCUCUCCUGGCAGCCCCUCCAUGUAACCUCGAGUGAGUCCCUUGGCCCACGUCCCUUGCCUUAUGGGCACAAACGCUUUAUUCAGGUUCGAUGAAACAGCAACAUCAUGGAUGCCGACGCUCAUUGUUCCCUUUAGUCUAGUUUGAAUAGUGAACAUGCAGCCGAAGAUGCUGUGAGUUGAAAAGAAAUAGCACUGAAUGUCCAAAGGUUAGUCUCUCAAAGAUUGAAGAAUGAGAAAAUGUCAGAAUGUCACUUUUGGAAGUUGAGAUCAACCAUGCUCUUGCUCUAUUGUUAAUUUUUAUUUUUACUGCAUUUGAUGACUACAUUUCAUCUUAAGGAAUUUUUCGGUGCAAGCCUUUCUUUGUCUCAGAGGUGUUGACAAUUACGUAUUAAAGCUUGUAUGGCACAAAACAGGAAUAUUUAGAAACACAGAUGUGUUAAGGCAUUGUUUUUUAUCUUGUAUAUUUAGUUGAGGGUGUCAGUGAGCGAAAUUGGGAUUAGCACAGGGACUGAGUAGUCCAGAGACCUUUUUCAUCCCCUGAAGGGAGAAGGGCCACGUCUGAGCUCUACCAAGGUUCAUUGCAUGGAUUAUGGGACAGGCUUAACAUGAAUGCCAGCCCCACUGCUCACUGGCUGUACCAUAUUAAAGAACUUUCUUAAUUUCUCCAAGUUCCAAUUUUCUUAUCUAUAAAAUGGAGAUUAAGAAUAUUUACCUAGAGUUCCUGUCUUGGCGCAGCGGAAGCAAAUCCGAGUAGGAACCAUGAGGUUGUGGGUUCGAUCCCCGGCCUUGCUCAGUGGGUUAAAGAUCCAGCAUUGCCGUGAGCUGUGGUGUAGGUUGCAGACACGGCUCAGAUCUGGCAUUGCUGUGGUUCUGAUGUAGGCCAGCAGCAACAGCUCUGAUUCGACCCCUCACUUGCGAACCUCCAUAUGCUGUGGGUGUGGCCCUAAAAAGACAAAAGACAAAAAAAAAAAAAAAA
rnacentral:lncRNA from 1 species